rnacentral:rRNA from 1 species
UAGGGAAUCUUCCGCAAUGGGCGAAAGCCUGACGGAGCAACGCCGCGUGAGUGAAGAAGGUUUUCGGAUCGUAAAGCUCUGUUGUAAGAGAAGAACGAGUGUGAGAGUGGAAAGUUCACACUGUGACGGUAUCUUACCAGAAAGGGACGGCUAACUACGUGCCAGCAGCCGCGGUAAUACGUAGGUCCCGAGCGUUGUCCGGAUUUAUUGGGCGUAAAGCGAGCGCAGGCGGUUAGAUAAGUCUGAAGUUAAAGGCUGUGGCUUAACCAUAGUACGCUUUGGAAACUGUUUAACUUGAGUGCAAGAGGGGAGAGUGGAAUUCCAUGUGUAGCGGUGAAAUGCGUAGAUAUAUGGAGGAACACCGGUGGCGAAAGCGGCUCUCUGGCUUGUAACUGACGCUGAGGCUCGAAAGCGUGGGGAGCAAACAGGAUUAGAUACCCUGGUAGUCCACGCCGUAAACGAUGAGUGCUAGGUGUUAGACCCUUUCCGGGGUUUAGUGCCGCAGCUAACGCAUUAAGCACUCCGCCUGGGGAGUACGACCGCAAGGUUG